UACGGGGGGUGCAAGCGUUAAUCGGAAUUACUGGGCGUAAAGCGCACGUAGGUGGUUUGGUUAGCUAGCCGUGAAAGCCCCGGGCUCGACCUGGGAAUUGCGGUCAGAACUACCAAGCUAGAGUAGGGUAGAGGGGUGUGGAAUUCCAGGUGUAGCGGUGAAAUGCGUAGAUAUCUGGAGGAACAUCAGUGGCGAAGGCGACACCCUGGACUGAUACUGACACUGAGGUGCGAAAGCGUGGGGAGCAAACAGG
rnacentral:rRNA from 1 species